CGCGGCGAUCCGGGCGGUCCUGGGCCUCAGCUCAUACCUGAUGGCGUUGCGGGUUCGACUCCCGCCGUCGCGUCCA
rnacentral:tRNA from 1 species